rnacentral:rRNA from 1 species
GUAGGGUGCAAGCGUUAAUCGGAAUUACUGGGCGUAAAGGGUGCGCAGGCGGCCCCGCAUGUCAGGCGUGAAAUCCCCGGGCUUAACUUGGGAAUGGCGCUUGAAACUACGGGGCUGGAGUGUGGCAGAGGGAGGUGGAAUUCCACGUGUAGCGGUGAAAUGCGUAGAGAUGUGGAGGAACACCGAUGGCGAAGGCAGCCUCCUGGGCCAACACUGACGCUCAUGCACGAAAGCGUGGGGAGCAAACAGGAUUAGAUACCCUGGUAGUCCACGCCCUAAACGAUGACGACUAGUUGUUGGGGGAGUUAAAUCCCUUAGUAACGCAGCUAACGCGCGAAGUCGUCCGCCUGGGGAGUACGGUCGCAAGAUUAAA